UGGGGAAUUUUGGACAAUGGGCGCAAGCCUGAUCCAGCAAUGCCGCGUGCAGGAUGAAGGCCUUCGGGUUGUAAACUGCUUUUGUACGGAACGAAACGGCGAACUCUAAUAAAGUUUGCUAAUGACGGUACCGUAAGAAUAAGCACCGGCUAACUACGUGCCAGCAGCCGCGGUAAUACGUAGGGUGCAAGCGUUAAUCGGAAUUACUGGGCGUAAAGCGUGCGCAGGCGGUUAUAUAAGACAGAUGUGAAAUCCCCGGGCUCAACCUGGGACCUGCAUUUGUGACUGUAUAGCUAGAGUACGGUAGAGGGGGAUGGAAUUCCGCGUGUAGCAGUGAAAUGCGUAGAUAUGCGGAGGAACACCGAUGGCGAAGGCAAUCCCCUGGACCUGUACUGACGCUCAUGCACGAAAGCGUGGGGAGCAAACAGGAUUAGAUACCCUAGUAGUCCCUGAGCGGGCUGGCAAGGCGCAU
rnacentral:rRNA from 1 species